GGCUGCCUGUAGGGGGAGCUGCAGCGGAAGCGCAGCUCCUCUCAGGCAGUUCAAGGGGCCAUGAGACAGAGCUACGUGAGGCAGUGGCUGCUGUCUUCGGCUCCCACAGUAAUGUAAGUAUAUAACCUCACACUGUGGAAUGCCUUGAUGUCCUGAAAAUUGAUGUCUGCAGUUGUGGUACACAAGAACCAAGAGACCGUAGGGUGCUCUGAGCGGCACAAAUGGGACCAGCAAUUGGAGAGCAUUCUGGUUCUUGUAGUGACAUUUGGAGGACCAAGGGGGUGACACCUGGUUUGUACUACUAUCAUCAGACGGAGAGAAACUCCCUUGUGAUAUAACAACGUGGAUGAAAACCACAGAGAGAAGAUAGAAUGCAGUGCAAUUAAUGAACCUUAUAUGGCUUUCAAAGGUCAUUGAAGAAAGCCUUCUCCUGUGCCCCCUAGUGGACGAAAAAGAAAAGCAGAUUAUUAUAUCAUUGUCCUUAUUACUUUCUGAUUAUUGUAACAGGCUUCAUCUGAUGGUUAGGAUAGUUUACUGCAAAAGUACCUUAGGUAUUGGAUGGGAAUUACCUUCAUAAUAAUGCUGAAUGCUUUAGCACAUGACAAAUAUCUCUCCCCAUGUGGUAUACCUACUCACAUAAUCCCAGCACGAUAUUUGGCCAUAUUAUAAAUAAAACCUGGUCACUAGACUUACUAAUA